rnacentral:rRNA from 1 species
GACGAACGCUGGCGGCGUGCUUAACACAUGCAAGUCGAACGGUAAGGCCCCAGCUUGCUGGGGUACACGAGUGGCGAACGGGUGAGUAACACGUGGGUGACCUGCCCCGCACUUCGGGAUAAGCCUGGGAAACUGGGUCUAAUACCGGAUAGGACCGCACCGUGAGGGUGUGGUGGAAAGUUUUUCGGUGUGGGAUGGGCCCGCGGCCUAUCAGCUUGUUGGUGGGGUAAUGGCCUACCAAGGCGGCGACGGGUAGCCGGCCUGAGAGGGUGGACGGCCACAUUGGGACUGAGACACGGCCCAGACUCCUACGGGAGGCAGCAGUGGGGAAUAUUGCACAAUGGGCGGAGGCCUGAUGCAGCGACGCCGCGUGGGGGAUGACGGCCUUCGGGUUGUAAACUCCUUUCACCAUCGACGAAGGUUUUCUGACGGUAGAUGGAGAAGAAGCACCGGCUAACUACGUG